ensembl:lncRNA
CAGUUACCCUGGUGACUUUGAAUACCCGAGCUUUGGGCUCAACAUACCUGCUAACCCCGUAAUCUGAGUACAUCCCUCAGGUCUCAAUAGGUUAAUUUAUCACAUUUCUUAAAUUAGCUAUUUGCUUUUACUUUUUUGAUAUUGUUUGUUUUUAUUUUUUUGUUUCUUUGUUUGUUUUGGCCCCUGAUUUCAUAAUGAACACGAGAAAAUCCAAUAAUUGUCCAUUUUACAAGCUCAAUCCUGGUUUUUAGUCACACAUUCAUUUAUUAUUCACAGGAACAAUAAGACGCACUGUUGAAGAGAGAGACAGCGUCUCACUGAAAUGUCCUGGUGAUGUUGGAGGAUCAGCUGUUCCAACAUGGAGACGAGACACUGGAGAAAUAAAUUAUGGAAGAAAUCAUUUUUCCCAUAAAGACAAAACAUUAACAAUAAGAGAAGCUGAGCCUGCUGACUCUGGACUGUACUACUGUGAUGGAAAACCAGCUGUUUAUCUGAAUGUGACCAAAGCACAGAGAUCUGACAGAGGUAAGAAGACAACCACAACUACAACAACAACAACAACAACUUCUACAUCACGAAGACCCCCAACAACAACUACUACUACAAUGACAGCAUCUGCUAGAACACCACCAACAACAACAACAACAACACCAACAACAACACCAACAACAACAACACCAACAACAACAACACCAACAAGAACAACACCGACAACAACACCGACAACAACAACAACAACAACAACACCACCAACAACAACACCACCAACAACAACACCAACAAGAACAACACCGACAACAACACCGACAACAACAACAACAACAACAAUAACAACAAGGGCUACAUUAACUAGAAUUCAGCAGUCAACAACAACAGAAACUCCAUUAUGUACGUUUUAAACAAACAAACUAAGGUCAGAGUGUCGUUCACGUGUACACAAGCUUACAAACAUCUGUCAGUUCUGGGGCCCGUUCUUCGUACCUCGCUUACUACAUCCAAGAUCAAAUCAUCGCGCUAACUUUGAGCUCGCUAAUCCGGUUCUCCGAACACACCUGUUGUUGACGAUUAGUACAGCUGGAUGAAGUAAUCUGAGAUCACUGGGUGGCUUAAAAGGGGCUACGCAUCGAUAGUAGAAACAUUGAUCGGCAACCCUGUGAUUGGUCGGCGAAGAUGGCGAAGGAGCGCGCUCAGUAUUUUUCGGCAGCAGACCAAGAACUCUUGAUUGAGGGAUAUCAGGAGUUUCAGAGUUUAAUUAAAACGCAGGGGAACACUGCAAAGGCUGCAAAAGCAAGGAGAGAGGGCUGGCAGAAAGUUGCUGACAAAUUAAACUCGUAAGUAAUUUAUUAUAUUAUAUUACAUCAUAUCCUCUUUCACAUUAGAGCCACAACAGGACCCACUAGAACAUGGGAACAAGUAAAAGUGAAAUAUAAGAAUAUUCUACAGAAUGGUAAUAUUUAUCACUUAUAUUGCUUUUAGUCUAUGACAAGAGACCCUGAAAUAAUCUGUUUGUUUGUUUAUAACAGCAACCAAGAAAAGGGCAGAGCAAAUAAAGACAGGUGGUGGUCCUGCACCCCCUCGUCACACCCCUUUUUGUACUGUGACAUUUAUUGACAUUGUGGGUUUUUUUGUGUGUAGUUUUACAUAACACUCCAUCACUUUUACCUGUUCCCAUGCAAGGGGUGACUGAAGCAUGCACAGUAAGUUGAUAUAUAUAUAUCUAUAUAUAUCUAUAUAUAUAUAUAUAUAGAUAUAUAUAUAUAUAUAUAUAGAUAUAUAUAGAUAUAUAUAUAUAUAUAUAUAUAUAUAUAUAUAUAUCUAUAUAUAUAUAUCCCGUCUAUCCCGCAAUAUACGCUAAAUUCUGUAAACUCUCCUUAUCAAUCUUGCACCUUCCUUGCUCGCGUACAAACGGACAGGACAUGGCUGCGACAGACUUCCCAAAUCCACCUUCGCUUUUAUAGCCGUGGUCUCUCAUCUUGAUUACACGAAGUAAUUUUUAUUACUACUCUAAAAUGUGAAUUACAUCUGAAAUAAUCAAAUACAUGAAAUAGAAUGAUUAAUAGUACAUUUCCCUUUUUUUAGGAAAUGACCUGUAUGUAUCUGUAUGAAAUCAAUAAAAGAAUCAAAUGCUGCAUUAUCUUUAGUUACAUUGAUAAUAUUUAUUUAUGGAGAAACAGUGGAGAAAUAUCGCUGUUGCUUCGUAUAAAUGCAGCGGACAUACCUGAGUGGCGGCGAUCUAAUCCUGUUUACAUAAAGUAAACCUGCUCCCGAGCAGGUUUACGCUUACGGAUCUGUUGCUAUGACAGCAAGUCCCGGAUGAGCUUCGGAGAACCGAACGAUCCAAGAUCACGCGAAAUCGUCAACAAUCAAAUCCGGCUAACUUACUUAGCGAGGUACGAAGAACGGGCCCCUGUUCUGUAGAUAAAAUGUUUAAAUGAUAUUUAUGUUUAUGUUUGUUUCCAGUCAAACAAACUGGUUUCCAGUUAGGAAUGAGUGCUCCUCUUCUCUUCAUCCUCAUCAUCAUCACCGUCUACUUUAUUCGGAGACGCAGGUUUAAGAGACGAGGUGAGUAAAGCAGAACGUGACCAGAAUCUAAAAUAGAUGCUGCCGUGGUUCAGAUUCAUUCAUUGAGACUCUUCUCCUGAUAAUUCUCACAUCUUUGUUUCAGCUUCAGCUUCGGUCUAGUUUAGUUUCUUGUCUUUAGUUUCCUUUACAAGGCUUCUUACUCUUUCUUUUCUUUUGGUUUACUGCAG